rnacentral:rRNA from 1 species
UGCGCAGGCGGGCUUGUAAGUCAGUGGUGAAAUACUGCCGCUUAACGGUAGAACUGCCAUUGAUACUGCAAGUCUUGAAUAUGGUUGAGGUAGGCGGAAUGUGUCGUGUAGCGGUGAAAUGCAUAGAUAAGACACAGAACGCCAAUUGCGAAGGCAGCUUACUAAGCCAUUAUUGACGCUGAGGCACGAAAGCGUGGGGAGCGAACAGGAUUAGAUACCCUGGUAGUCC